rnacentral:rRNA from 2 species
GGUCAAGCUACAAAGAGCUAACGGUGGAUACCU